GGGCUCUGGAGGCGUGAGGUGAGGCAAGGUGUUUGCCUUUGCAGAACCUGUUUCUGUGUGAAAAAAGAUCCAAGGGAUAAUUUUGUUGAGCCUGCCUCAAGGGCAUGCGCUGAUGGUUGUGAAGAUGCUGCAGUUGUGAAAGGUCUUUGGGAGGAUCCAACGCUCCCACUUGAGUGUCUGGGGCCUCUUGACCAGUCAGCACCUGGCCGGCCAAUAGUACCGGCCCAGGCUGAUGGAUGAUAAAGAGAGGAGGGUGUGCAGAGGGAGCCAGGAGAUCACAGUGGCCCAUUCUGGACUGCAGGAGGCUGGGUGGCCUUGGAAGGGUCUGAAGACGCCCAUCUACCAGCUCUGUCUCUUGUAGCAGGUUCUGGUGACCCAGUUGGACCCUGAGUACUUGAGAAAGAGCUCUGGGAAUUGGGAAUGGGGCCUGAGACUGAGAAAUGAAGCCUGAAGUUUCCCCCAGCUUUGAGUUCAAGGUCCUAUUCUGGCUCCACUUCAGCAGAACUGUCCUAUCUUCCCACACCUCACCAGAAUCCCUCCUUGACACACUCUGGGCAGGCCCUGUGAGUCCUCUCAUCCCCUACCCGCUGCCUGGGCCUGUGAAGACUUGAACAGACACUGACAAGGUUUCUAACAGCGCAAGCCCCAUCCCUAAGAUUACUCCAGACUGACUAAGAGGACCUGCAUGGGAAAGCUCAAGACCAUCCCAGGAAUUGACUGUUUCUUCUAGCCAACACUUGAAGGUGGGGUCCCCUGCUUUCCAGUGUAUGUGGGAGAGCAGCAGCCUAACUUUGACAAGUAUCGUUUCUAACCAUUUGUCUCACAUGGACCAUCCACUGCCAUCUGCUUUUUAAAGUUUUGCACUUCGCUGGCUUUACUGUGGCCAGCUCACCCCCUCCUCCUCCACGUUCUUCCUUUACAACACCAGCCGCUCUGUACAAACUCAGGUGAGGUUCAGUUCACACUGGACUUUUCCCUGCCACCAUGGUGGGUACUAAGGUCUGUCCUCACCACUAUAACUGGUGCUGACUUUGUCUCCACUCCCGCCCCAACUGCCCAGCCCCUCCUUUUUUCCUGUUUUGGGCAGGACCUGGUUUGUUAUCUGACUGUGGGAAUUAUUUAAUGCCCGACUUCUCACCUAGAGAAGCCCCUUGAGGCAGGGAGCAGGUUUUAGCCUUCUCUUAGUCCUGCAUGUGAUGAAUGUAUUCAGGACACAUCAGAAAGGUUGACAUGAAUUUGGUGGGGUCCUGAUUAGGGCCAGAGACAAAGACUCUGCAGUCUACCAGCAGACACAGCUGGCUCACUGCUCCACCACUGAGUGAAUGAGGGGCAGCAGGUACCCUUGGUUCCACUCUUGGGAGUGAUUGAACUGGGUUUUCUGGAACAAGAAAAGACAAGUGCUUUGGUUUGUGUGCUGGUUCUGCAAAGUUGGCCAGAUUGCUUUCACUGUACUUUAAUUUCUUCAUCUAUAAAAUGGGACGACAGUAGUACUAACCUCCCACUUGUACUGUGUUAGGAUUAACUGAGCUGAGUUAGGUAGCAGGCACGGAAGCCUGGUGCCCAGUACACCAGUUCAACACGUGUGACCUCUUAGUGGGUUCUGGAGGCCUUGUCACCUCCAGGCCUGUGCCUCCAGGUGACUUCUGCGUCUUUGUUCACUUGUGGACUCCUCUCUCUCAUCAGUAAUUAUGUCCAACGUCUGGUAGCAGAGUUUAUACCUUAUUUGGUUUUCAAUACUACUUGUAUAGGAGGAAUUGUUAUAUGCAUUUAAAAAUAUUCUUUGUCUCUUUCUUUCUUUGGAGUUUUGUUGAAGGACUUCAGGUUAAAAUAAGUAUUAAAAUUUGCAAAAUCAAAUGUUGAUUUGUAAGAAGGUGAAGUCAAGGCUGGGGAGAUAUCUCAGUGAUAGAGAAGAGGUGUUUUCCUGGCAGGCAAGAGGCUCGGGGCUGGAUCUACAGCACCAGGAAAAAUAAAUAAAUAAAGACACAAAGGAUUAAGCAAAGGAGAGUCUAGGUUUCCAUGAAAACUUCUUCUCACCCAAUUCUUCUAGGAUAUAUAGUCCACUUUCUGCUUGCAAAUUUAUUUCCAGAAAGGAGGGCUGGGGUUCAUAUCAUCAUUCUUUUUUUUAAAUGUUGCACAUACUUUUCUUGCUACUCCUUUUGUUUUGCUUUGUUAAAGUAUGGGUUUUCUUUAUUUAAACCACUUUGUCACUUGUCCUUUACCUUUGCUUCUAUUAUUCUUCAUUUGUGCUUUUAUGUUGAAUAAAAUUUCUAUAUCUUUACUCUGUUCCUCUGAUGCCUUAGAAACUAUAGACUAUGUUUCUAGUCUUUCAAUAUUUACCUCAGAUUUUGAACAUGUGGAUUUGACUAUACAUUUUUCUAAAAUUCUUCUGAGCCUCUAUUUUUUCCCUAAACAAGGACCUAAACAUGUUUCAGGCACACACUGAAUACCAAGCCCACCUGUCUUACUAUUGUUUCUAGGAACUUUAGUAUGGCCUGAAAAAAAAAAUAAUGGAACUUCUUUUUAUAGAAAAUGGCAACUAUGCACAAUAGGAGAGAGAAGUGAUGUUCGUGUCGCUGGUUUCAAUGAUUAUGAACAUUUUGCCAAUCUUGUUCCACUCUGUUGAGCUUUUCUGCUCUGCUCCCCAGCAGGAGCAUUUUAAAGCAAAUCUAUGGCAUUAUGAUCAUUUUACCCAUGCACACUUUAGAAUGAAUUCUGACAGAUAAAAAAACGUAACCACAAUAUCCAUAAAUAUGCCUAAAAAGUAGAACACUUCUUCAUAACACCCAAUGCUUAACACGUAUUCAAAUAUCCCUGACUUUAUCAAGCAUGUCUUUUCUGCACUCCUCUGCCCGAAUCUGGAUACCCAAAGGUGCGUUCUUGCAUUUGGCUUGUACGUCUUUUAAGUUCUUUAGCAUUAGGGGUUUUUUUUUUUUUUUCACAUGCUGUAUAAAAUUAUCACAAAAUUCAUUUUCACAUUU
rnacentral:lncRNA from 1 species